UCAUUGCUGGAACAAACGCCCUCACGGGUGCUACCCAGAAACCCUUUGUGAAUCAUACCUAAAAAAAAACUGUUGCCUCGGCUUUUUGGUUGGCUUCCUUGGAAGUCCCUUCGCAAGAAGGAGCAGACCGGCCGGUGGCCCUAUAAACUCUUGUUUUUGUAACGUCAUCUGAGUAAAAAAACAACUAAAUGAAUCAAAACUUUCAACAACGGAUCUCUUGGUUCUGGCAUCGAUGAAGAACGCAGCGAAAUGCGAUAAGUAAUGUGAAUUGCAGAAUUCAGUGAAUCAUCGAAUCUUUGAACGCACAUUGCGCCCGGUGGUAUUCCACCGGGCAUGCCUGUUCGAGCGUCAUUUCAACCCUCAAAGCCCCUAAGCUUUGGUGUUGGAGGAAUACCUGUAAAAGGGUACCCUCUGAAAUUUAGUGGCGGGCUCGCUAGAAUUUUGAGCGUAGUAAUUUUACCUCGUUUUUAAAAGACUAGUGGGACUUUCUAGCCAUAAAACCCCCCAACUUUCUGAAAAUUGACCU
rnacentral:rRNA from 1 species